AGCAGUCGCCGCGGUAAUACGUAGGUGGCAAGCGUUGUCCGAAAUUAUUGGGCGUAAAGCGCGCGCAGGCGGAUCAGUCAGUCUGUCUUAAAAGUUCGGGGCUUAACCCCGUGAUGGGAUGGAAACUGCUGAUCUAGGGUAUCGGAGAGGAAAGUGGGAUUCCUAGUGUAGCGGUGAAAUGCGUAGAUAUUAGGAAGAACACCAGUGGCGAAGGCGACUUUCUGGACGAAAACUGACGCUGAGGCGCGAAAGCCAGGGGAGCGAACGGGAUUAGAUACCCGUGUAGUCCCUGUCUCUUAUACA
rnacentral:rRNA from 1 species